rnacentral:lncRNA from 1 species
GAUUCAACCUGCCAAUUCCAACAAGGGUCCCAGCAGGGAGGCGAGGCACUGAAGGGAACAGCGGGGGGGAAGGAGACGAGAAGGAACAGCCACUGACUCAUCGCAUAUGGCGGCGUCUCAACGGUUGCCGAAUGGCCGACUUCCCCGCCCAUUUUCAGGAUCUUAAACUCCUCUUAUUGAAAAGCCUGAAUAUUCCCAAGAGGAGGUCUACUGUAUCGAGAGGCCGCUAUAGACCGCUACCGCUAAUUCUGAAAGUAUUUCAUAAUUCCCUCAAGCACACUUCAGGGAGGAGACACUUCAACUGAUCCGAUUAAGAAAGGAGUGUGCUUCGCGCGCGCUCGCCCGAACGAACACCCUGUUGCGUUCCUCUUUUCAAAUGAGUGCCAGUCAGGUGGCCGCGCCUGGAAGAGGACCAAUCACGUGGCCGCGCCUGGAAGAAGACCAAUCACGUGGCCGCGCCUGGAAGAGAAACCAACCACGUAGCCGCGCCUGGAAAAGGGCCAAUCACGUGGCAGCGCCUGGAAGAGGAUCAGUCACGUGACCGCGCCUGGAAGAGGGCCAAGAAAAAUGACCGUGCCCUUGGGUGGAUAUUCUAGUCAUUCCAGAGAAACCGGGUAAUUAAU